rnacentral:tRNA from 1 species
GGGCCUGUAGCUCAGUUGGUUAGAGCAGUGGACUCAUAAUCCAUUGGUCGUGGGUUCAAGUCCCCCCGGGCCCACCA